GGUAGGGUCCCUCUACGAGGGACCUUUCCCCCACGCACACGAAAUGUUGUAAUACUGCCAAACUCCGGGCAAUUCCUAAAGCUUAAGUUACAGCGAGUAAAAGGGUAACCUUUGAAAGUACGAUAGAGUAAUUAUCUAUCUAUGGAGAAUGUUCCGAUGUAAUGAGACUUAAGAUGAUCGAAAGUGAAAUGGAUCUUCGCGGAACUAAGAUCCUUACGGUUAAACCGUUGGCAGUGCCACUUCUAAUCAAGUUUGACUGCUGAAUUUUUUGUUUAAUUUAUUAAGGAUAAAAGCGCAUCGACUAAAAGGUAGUAGUGUCUACACGGGAUUAACAAUCUCGCAUUAAAUUAAGUAACUUGCUUAUAAGUGUAGAAUUAAGAUAUAGUCAGACCCCAUACGAAAGUAUGAA
rnacentral:ncRNA from 1 species